AGGACGAACGCUGGCGGCGUGCUUAACACAUGCAAGUCGAACGGAAAGGCCCUGCUUGCAGGGUACUCGAGUGGCGAACGGGUGAGUAACACGUGGGUGAUCUGCCCUGCACUUCGGGAUAAGCCUGGGAAACUGGGUCUAAUACCGGAUAGGAGCCAUUUUUAGUGUGAUGGUUGGAAAGUUUUUCGGUGUAGGAUGAGCUCGCGGCCUAUCAGCUUGUUGGUGGGGUAAUGGCCUACCAAGGCGGCGACGGGUAGCCGGCCUGAGAGGGUGGACGGCCACAUUGGGACUGAGAUACGGCCCAGACUCCUACGGGAGGCAGCAGUGGGGAAUAUUGCACAAUGGGCGCAAGCCUGAUGCAGCGACGCCGCGUGGGGAUGACGGCCUUCGGGUUGUAAACUCCUUUCGCUAGGGACGAAGCUUUUUGUGACGGUACCUAGAUAAGAAGCACCGGCUAACUACGUG
rnacentral:rRNA from 1 species